UUCUUCGCCCCCGUCAGCUUCUGCACCUGCUUCGCUAUCUGCGCCAGGUGCUGCGACUCCAGCUUCACCACCGAGGUCACGAUGGCCAGCUCCGUGUCCGUGAUUUUGUUGUAAACCACCUCGAACUCCUUUACGAUGUCCUUUAUGAGGUCGAUUCGCUUGGCGUCGACGAGGAUGUUGAGGAAAUUGACGGUGUGGGGUUGGAGGGUGGAGGAGUUGGCGAUUUCGUCGAGGACCUUGCGCUUCUUGUCGAGGUCGAUGGUGGGGUUGAUGAAGAAGUCGAAGACCGACGGCUCGCCGAAGAACUUCUCGAUCUUCUCCACGUCGCCCGCCGUGGUUUCGAGGGUGUUGUUGGAUUUGGCCACGUCGGCCAACGCCGUGGCGUAGCUGGCGGCGGCGGAGGAGUUCAUUCUGGCGCCGAGGGCUCCGCCGCCGUUUCGGCGGAGGGUGACGACGGCGGCGGCGGAGGAGGAGAGCUUGAGGGGGAUGGGGGUGAAGGUGGAGGAGAAGGAGAAGGAGAGGGUGGAGGUUCUGGGGGUGAGGGUGGAGGAGAGUUGUGGUGGGGAUGAUGGGUUUUGGGAUUGGAGAGAGAUUGGGGUGUGUUGGAGGGCGGCCAUUGGUCAAUUGGGUGGCUCUCUUUCUCACUCUCACUCUUGGUUUGAUGAUGCGAAGAGAGAGUUUGUGGAACUGAAAGGAAG
rnacentral:lncRNA from 1 species